rnacentral:rRNA from 1 species
GUGGGGAAUAUUGGACAAUGGGCGAAAGCCUGAUCCAGCCAUGCCGCGUGUGUGAAGAAGGUCUUCGGAUUGUAAAGCACUUUAAGUUGGGAGGAAGGGCAGUAAGUUAAUACCUUGCUGUUUUGACGUUACCGACAGAAUAAGCACCGGCUAACUUCGUGCCAGCAGCCGCGGUAAUACGAAGGGUGCAAGCGUUAAUCGGAAUUACUGGGCGUAAAGCGCGCGUAGGUGGUUUUGUAAGUUGGAGGUGAAAUCCCCGGGCUCAACCUGGGAACUGCCUCCAAAACUGCAUGACUAGAGUACGGUAGAGGGUAGUGGAAUUUCCUGUGUAGCGGUGAAAUGCGUAGAUAUAGGAAGGAACACCAGUGGCGAAGGCGACUACCUGGACUGAUACUGACACUGAGGUGCGAAAGCAUGGGGAGCAAACAGGAUUAGAAACCCUUGUAGUCC